GGGAUCAUAACUAGCCCCAACCUUCUUCUUCAUCUCUAAUAGAGUUUCCUCCGUAGAUAGACCAGGUUCAACAAAUUGUUUGCUCAAACCAACUAACCCUUCAGCAACCUUUCCAGACUCACUUCCCCUGACUUUGAGGCCCCUUCUUCCCCACUCCCACAUAUAGCUAGCACCUUCUUCCUCUUAAUUUUCUUCAAUUUCACAGAAUCACCCACAGAAACAUCUUUUGUAUCCACUAUCAGAACAUACCUAUUUUCUACCCUUUCUCCUACAUCAUCAGAAACAACACUUGGACUUACCUCUUUUGGGGUUUCUUUAUGUGUGACAUUGUCAGAAGGCCGACGUUCAUCUCCUUCACUGGCAGAGAUGUAAUCAUCAGACUCAGAACUGGAAUCGGUUUCUUUUGCUGGAGAUUAUUUCUUUUGACUUGCCUUCAAUCUUUCGUUUAGAGCUUUCCUCAAGGGACAAGUCGCAACAACUUUUCUUUCUAUCAUUUUUGUACGACAGAAUCUGGGUUUUGGGGACUCACUAGGGGGUGUGGAUGAUAAAGUGGUGUUAGGUGACACUGGUAGUAGGGUUUCAGGAU
rnacentral:lncRNA from 1 species